rnacentral:lncRNA from 1 species
AAACCAGCUGAAUACAGCUAGGGAGCUAAUUUAAAACCCAUUUUUUUUCUGUUUCCUGGCCUUUCUAGUCUUAAAAAUUUAAGUGGGCUUUGCUCAAGGAAGAUAGCACAUGGUCCUAGCGGUUUUAGCCUGAGGACUAAAGAAGAUUGCUGGGACCCACCCAUACCCACUUUGUAAAAGAAGGAGGUUUAGUUUGGCCUUUUGUUUACGGUCUAUUCACUCCUAAUCAGCCCUUUCAUAGCUUCUACCUUCCUGUAUGAGGGUUUUUGUAACCCCUCCCAGAAGCUUGAUAAGGAGAAUUUACAACACAAUAGGCCCUUAACCUGUAUUGGGUUGUAGACAAGAAGAAAAAAAAAAAGGUACAGGCAACCUAGCAAUUGACUCAAAGAAAGAAAAAAUGUGGCUACAACCAAUGUCUGCUUUGCUUCGAAAUUGGCUUAUAAGUUUAAUGACCAAGUGCAUUGGAUUUUUAGUAGGUGUUCCUCUAGGAUGGUAUUUUUCAGAAACUAUAAACCUCAUCGUGACCAUUAUAUUCAUCUUCCUUGGGAUUGUAAUUGUUGUACUUACAAUGAUAUACCUAACCUCUAAGAGAGAACACUCCCUUGUUCCUUCUAUUACUAAACAAAUUAAGGAAUUACACACUUUUAUGGAAAACCAAAUCACGGAGCAAUAUAAUAUCACUGAUCAACGUAUUAGGGAACUCCACACUUUUAUUGGGGAGCAACUUCAGGAACAGAAUAAUAUUUUUACUCAAAAAGUUAGGGAACAGAAUAUUAUAACUGAUCAGAGAAUUACAGAAUUGCACACAUUUAUUGAUCAGCAACAUAAAGAAUUGAUUACUAUCACUGAUCAAAGAAUUCGGAACCAAAAUGCUUGUAUUGAACAAAUUAAAAAAGAAAUUACUCUUAUUUAUCAACAAUUGAUGGAACGGGAUGAAGUUAGGGAGGAAACAUGGCGAGAGAUAAAAACUUCCCUGGCUGAACUUAAUCAGGGACGAUGGGGAGAGAUAAAAACUUCCCUGGAUGAAAUUAAACAGGACAAAUGGGGAGAGAUAAGAACCUUCCUGCAAAACAUUGAUAGGGAGUUAAAAACAUCCCACAAUAGGAGUGAUUUAACUCUCCAUCCCCCAUCAUUAUCAGACUCCCUGACCAACCCUGCCCAAAACGAUUUGGCUCAAAUAGAAGCCCCUUCACACCAACCAGCUCCUCCCCAUCCUGACCACCCAGCCCCUCCCCCUGCCAUUCUUGCCCCUCCCACCCUGGUUCCUCCUUCCAUUCAUGCCUCUUACCCUGCCUCCUCAGCCCCGGAUCCUCCCCCUGCCCUUCCCCCCACCCAUGCUCAUGCUCCAGCCCCACCCCCUGUUCCUGCCCCAGCCCUUCCCCCUCCCCUCCCCUCCACUCUUGCUCUAAU